GACGAACGCUGGCGGCGUGCCUAAUACAUGCAAGUAGAACGCUGAAGAGAGGAGCUUGCUCCUCUUGGAUGAGUUGCGAACGGGUGAGUAACGCGUAGGUAACCUGCCUUGUAGCGGGGGAUAACUAUUGGAAACGAUAGCUAAUACCGCAUAACAAUGGAUGACACAUGUCAUUUAUUUGAAAGGGGCAAUUGCUCCACUACAAGAUGGACCUGCGUUGUAUUAGCUAGUAGGUGAGGUAACGGCUCACCUAGGCGACGAUACAUAGCCGACCUGAGAGGGUGAUCGGCCACACUGGGACUGAGACACGGCCCAGACUCCUACGGGAGGCAGCAGUAGGGAAUCUUCGGCAAUGGGGGCAACCCUGACCGAGCAACGCCGCGUGAGUGAAGAAGGUUUUCGGAUCGUAAAGCUCUGUUGUAAGUCAAGAACGAGUGUGAGAGUGGAAAGUUCACACUGUGACGGUAGCUUACCAGAAAGGGACGGCUAACUACGUGCCAGCAGCCGCGGUAAUACGUAGGUCCCGAGCGUUGUCCGGAUUUAUUGGGCGUAGAGCGAGCGCAGGCGGUUUGAUAAGUCUGAAGUUAAAGGCUGUGGCUCAACCAUAGUUCGCUUUGGAAACUGUCAAACUUGAGUGCAGAAGGGGAGAGUGGAAUUCCAUGUGUAGCGGUGAAAUGCGUAGAUAUAUGGAGGAACACCGGUGGCGAAAGCGGCUCUCUGGUCUGUAACUGACGCUGAGGCUCGAAAGCGUGGGGAGCGAACAGG
rnacentral:rRNA from 1 species